CCUACGGGAGGCAGCAGUGGGGAAUAUUGCACAAUGGGCGCAAGCCUGAUGCAGCCAUGCCGCGUGUAUGAAGAAGGCCUUCGGGUUGUAAAGUACUUUCAGCGGGGAGGAAGGCGAUAAGGUUAAUAACCUUGUCGAUUGACGUUACCCGCAGAAGAAGCACCGGCUAACUCCGUGCCAGCAGCCGCGGUAAUACGGAGGGUGCAAGCGUUAAUCGGAAUUACUGGGCGUAAAGCGCACGCAGGCGGUCUGUCAAGUCGGAUGUGAAAUCCCCGGGCUCAACCUGGGAACUGCAUUCGAAACUGGCAGGCUGGAGUCUUGUAGAGGGGGGUAGAAUUCCAGGUGUAGCGGUGAAAUGCGUAGAGAUCUGGAGGAAUACCGGUGGCGAAGGCGGCCCCCUGGACAAAGACUGACGCUCAGGUGCGAAAGCGUGGGGAGCA
rnacentral:rRNA from 1 species